ensembl:lncRNA
CCGGAAUUACCAUGUCAGAUACAGCGGCAUAAGUGACUCAUACAAAUAAACCAAAAACUAGCCGCGAGAAAAGAAGACAAAACCAGCCCGGGAUUAUGUAAAUGAGCGGCAAAAAAGAAGAAGAAGUUCAGCGCGAACACGUAUGGGAGGCGGAGAUUUGAUGUCCAUACUGUUGAAAUUUCUUUAACCAAGCGCGUGCAGCAAUGUUUGCUUUCCAAGACCAGAAUGUAAAGCUGUCUGUGGAAGAAACACAUCCUGAUCCAAGAUAUGUUCAGCUUCAGGAUGAGGAAGGUCAACAGACGCUUUUACAUCAGGAAAUUCAAGGGACCCUCAGUGUGCUAAGAUUCCCAGAUGCCUCAUCAACUUGCCUUAGAAGAUGGAUCACUGCCAUCAGCAGAGUAUUCAGGUGCUGGCAUCGCUCAGACCGUAAUGUGCAGUUAUCCGUGGAAGAAACGGUGCUGUGUUCUCAUCUAAGCUCCGUGCAGCCCUGGGUUCUGAAUGAAGAUGACGGAGGAAUGAUUUUGCACCACAUUCAACCACGCAGUUAGGCC